AUUGAACGCUGGCGGCAUGCCUUACACAUGCAAGUCGAACGGUAACAGGUCUUCGGAUGCUGACGAGUGGCGAACGGGUGAGUAAUACAUCGGAACGUGCCCGAUCGUGGGGGAUAACGAAGCGAAAGCUUUGCUAAUACCGCAUAAGAUCUACGGAUGAAAGCAGGGGACCGCAAGGCCUUGCGCGAACGGAGCGGCCGAUGGCAGAUUAGGUAGUUGGUGGGAUAAAAGCUUACCAAGCCGACGAUCUGUAGCUGGUCUGAGAGGACGAUCAGCCACACUGGGACUGAGACACGGCCCAGACUCCUACGGGAGGCAGCAGUGGGGAAUUUUGGACAAUGGGGGCAACCCUGAUCCAGCAAUGCCGCGUGAGUGAAGAAGGCCUCGGUUGUAAGACUCUUUGUCUAGGGAAGGAAACAAGCAGCUCUAACACAGUCCGCGAAUGACGGUACCUGAAGAAUAAGCACCGGCUAACUACGU
rnacentral:rRNA from 1 species